rnacentral:rRNA from 1 species
UAGGGAAUCUUCGGCAAUGGGGGCAACCCUGACCGAGCAACGCCGCGUGAGUGAAGAAGGUUUUCGGAUCGUAAAGCUCUGUUGUAAGAGAAGAACGUGUGUGAGAGUGGAAAGUUCACACAGUGACGGUAACUUACCAGAAAGGGACGGCUAACUACGUGCCAGCAGCCGCGGUAAUACGUAGGUCCCGAGCGUUGUCAGGAUUUAUUGGGCGUAAAGCGAGCGCAGGCGGUUUAAUAAGUCUGAAGUUAAAGGCAGUGGCUUAACCAUUGUUCGCUUUGGAAACUGUUAAACUUGAGUGCAGAAGGGGAGAGUGGAAUUCCAUGUGUAGCGGUGAAAUGCGUAGAUAUAUGGGGGAACACCGGUGGCGAAAGCGGCUCUCUGGUCUGUAACUGACGCUGAGGCUCGAAAGCGUGGGGAGCAAACAGG